AGUGAACGCUGGCGGUAGGCCUAACACAUGCAAGUCGAACGGCAGCACAGUAAGAGCUUGCUCUUACGGGUGGCGAGUGGCGGACGGGUGAGGAAUACAUCGGAAUCUACUUUUUCGUGGGGGAUAACGUAGGGAAACUUACGCUAAUACCGCAUACGACCUACGGGUGAAAGCAGGGGAUCUUCGGACCUUGCGCGAUUGAAUGAGCCGAUGUCGGAUUAGCUAGUUGGCGGGGUAAAGGCCCACCAAGGCGACGAUCCGUAGCUGGUCUGAGAGGGUGACCGGCCACAUUGGGACUGAGAUACGGCCCAGGCUCCUACGGGAGGCAGCAGUGGGGAAUAUUGCACAAUGGGCGCAAGCCUGAUGCAGCAACGCCGCGUGCGGGAUGACGGCCUUCGGGUUGUAAACCGCUUUCAGCAGGGACGAGGCUUUUUGUGACGGUACCUGCAGAAGAAGCACCGGCUAACUACGUG
rnacentral:rRNA from 1 species